rnacentral:rRNA from 1 species
UACGGGGGGGGCAAGCGUUGUUCGGAAUUACUGGGCGGAAAGGGCUCGUAGGCGGCCAACUAAGUCAGACGUGAAAUCCCUCGGCUUAACCGGGGAACUGCGUCUGAUACUGGAUGGCUUGAGUUCGGGAGAGGGAUGCGGAAUUCCAGGUGUAGCGGUGAAAUGCGUAGAUAUCUGGAGGACCACCGGUGGCGAAGGCGGCAUCCUGGACCGACACUGACGCUGAGGAGCGAAAGCCAGGGGAGCAAACGGG